rnacentral:rRNA from 1 species
GUCCCAUCAGCUAGUUGGUAGGGUAAUAGCCUACCAAGGCAAUGACGGGUAGGGGACCUGAGAGGGUGGCCCCCCACAAUGGAACUGAGACACGGUCCAUACACCUACGGGUGGCAGCAGUAGGGAAUAUUAGAAAUGGGCGAAAGCCUGAUCUAGCAACACCGCGUGUGCGAUGAAGGCCUUCGGGUUGUAAAGCACUUUUUGGAGGGAAUAGGAAGGAAGGUACCUCCAGAAUAAGUCUCGGCUAACUACGUGCCAGCAGCCGCGGUAACACGUAGGAGGCAAACGUUAUCCGGAUUCACUGGGCGUAAAGCGCGUGUAGGUGGUUCUGUAAGUAGGGCGUGAAAGCUCCCGGCUCAACUGGGAGAGGCCGUACUAAACUGCAGAGCUAGAGGAUGGUAGAGGGAGGUGGAAUUCCAGGUGUAGUGGUGAAAUGCGCAGAUAUCUGGAGGAGCACCAGUGGCGAAGGCGGCCUCCUGGACCAUUCCUGACACUCAGACGCGAAAGCUAGGGUAGCAAACGGAAGUAGAGACUCCGGUAGUCCUAGCCCUAAACGAUGCAGAAUAGGCGUCGGCGGUUUAAUCACCGUCGGGGUCCAAGCUAACGCGAUAAGUCUGCCGCCUGAGGACUACGGCCGCAAGGCUAAAACUCAAAGGAAUUGACGGGUCCCCGCACAAGCAGCGGAGCGUGUGGUUUAAUUCGAUGCUCCGCGAAGAACCUUACCUGGGUUUGACAUAACAGUGGUAGAGAAGUGAAAACGGAUCGACCCUUCGGGGAGCUGUUACAGGUGUUGCAUGCCUGUCGUCAGCUCGUGUCGUGAGAUGUUCGGUUAAGUCCGCUAACGAGCGCAACCCGCGCUGUGUGUUACAAGUGUCACACAGUACCGCCGGUAUUAAGUCGGAGGAAGGUGCGGAUGACGUCAAGUCAGCAUGACCUUUAUAUCCAGGGCUACACACACGCUACAAUGGUCAGAACAAUAGGUUGCCAAGCCGCAAGGCGGAGCCAAUCCUCCAAAUCUGGCCUCAGUUCAGAUUGCAGGCUGCAACUCGCCUGCAUGAAGUCGGAGUUGCUAGUAACCGCAGGUCAGCAUACUGCGGUGAAUACGUUCCCGGGGAUUGCACUCACCGCCCGUCAAG